rnacentral:lncRNA from 1 species
AUUGUAAUGAUCUUGUUUGUUUGGUUUUCCUUUAGUUUAUGGUGGACAGAGAACGUUGGAUCUGUUGGAGAAAUUAACAAGUGAGGCUCCAUCAAAAAAACACCAGGUGCCAAUGAAAUCCUAACGACAUAUGAUUUUAGAAGCUUAUACCUGUCAGUCAAAUUGGAAGCAACGUGCCUAGCUUUUCCUUCUCAAGCAUGUACCAAACUUGCAUAACCUAGCACCAGUAUUGAGGGAUAUAGCGCACAUGAUAUAUCAUGACUCCUACUUUUUCUUUAGAGAGUGCUUUUAUAAACAGAGGAAAGGAGUCCCUAUUGGAAGCCCAAUGGCGGGAGUGCUAACAGAAAUCCUAAUUAGAGAGAUAGAAGAAGACAUAAUUAAAAGCUUAUAACCUAGUAUAAUAGAAUACAUGAGAGAUGUCGACAAUAUAUUUGUCAUAUGGAAGAAAAAUGCGAAAACAGAGAUUCUAACACAACAUUUAACCAAGGAGCAGUUUGGCCUACAACUUAAACAGGAACAAAGGAGCGAAUCUAAAAUACACUUCUUGGAUAUCCAAAUAGAAGCAAUGCAGGAUGCCUACAGAACCCAGGUCUACAAAAAGCCCAUAUAUUGCCCUAUCAUCAUACCAAAUUGGUCGGCGGAUCCAGUGAAGUAUAAAAAUGCUGC